rnacentral:rRNA from 1 species
AGGACGAACGCUGGCGGCGUGCUUAACACAUGCAAGUCGAGCGGAAAGGCCUUUCGGGGUACUCGAGCGGCGAACGGGUGAGUAACACGUGAGUAAUCUGCCCAUCGCUUCAGGAUAGCCAUCGGAAACGGUGAUUAAUACUGGAUAUGACAUUCCUUCGCAUGUUGGGGGUGUGGAAAGUUUUUUCGGCGGUGGAUGUGCUCGCGGCCUAUCAGCUUGUUGGUGGGGUAAUGGCCUACCAAGGCUUUGACGGGUAGCCGGCCUGAGAGGGUGACCGGCCACACUGGGACUGAGACACGGCCCAGACUCCUACGGGAGGCAGCAGUGGGGAAUAUUGGACAAUGGGCGGAAGCCUGAUCCAGCAACGCCGCGUGAGGGAUGACGGCCUUCGGUUGUAAACCUCUUCAGCACAGACGAAGUUUGUCUUUUUGGUGUAAGUGACGGUAUGUGCAGAAGAAGGACGGCAACACGUGCAGCAGCCGAC